AAGUGAUACAGCUCUUUUAGAAUUUGUCUAGCAGGUUUUUCCAGUUCCUACUGGAAA
rnacentral:snRNA from 1 species